ensembl:snRNA U6 U6 spliceosomal RNA
GUGCUCACUUUGGCAGCACAUAUACUAAAAUUGGAACAAUACAGAGAAGAUUAGCAUAGUCCUUGCACAAGAAUGACAUGCAGAUUUGUGAAGCGUUCUGUUGUUUU